rnacentral:snRNA from 2 species
UUGCUUACCUGGGCGAAGUCAAUCCAUGGCCAGGAUGGUAGAUGACUUAGGGUAACCUGCUCCAUUGCACUUUCGGGCCGUUUGACUCUAGUAUCUCUCUACGGAGGGCAUAGUUUGUGGCAGCGGAGGCUUGCGUUCGCGCGGCUCUCAC